AACGAACGCUGGCGGCAUGCCUAACACAUGCAAGUCGAACGAGACCUUCGGGUCUAGUGGCGCACGGGUGCGUAACGCGUGGGAACCUGCCUUUAGGUUCGGAAUAACUCAGAGAAAUUUGAGCUAAUACCGGAUGAUGUCUUCGGACCAAAGAUUUAUCGCCUUUAGAUGGGCCCGCGUUGGAUUAGCUAGUUGGUGGGGUAAAGGCCUACCAAGGCGACGAUCCAUAGCUGGUCUGAGAGGAUGAUCAGCCACACUGGGACUGAGACACGGCCCAGACUCCUACGGGAGGGAGCAGUGGGGAAUAUUGGACAAUGGGCGAAAGCCUGAUACAGCCAUGCCGCGUGAGUGAUGAAGGCCUUAGGGUUGUAAAGCUCUUUUACCCGAGAUGAUAAUGACAGUAUCGGGAGAAUAAGCUCCGGCUAACUCCGUG
rnacentral:rRNA from 1 species